GCGGUGGAGCAUGUGGUUUAAUUCGACGCAACGCGAAGAACCUUACCAGGGCUUGACAUCCCCUGACCGCGUAUGAAAGUACGUUUUCACCCUCGGGUGACAGGGAGACAGGUGGUGCAUGGUUGUCGUCAGCUCGUGUCGUGAGAUGUUGGGUUAAGUCCCGCAACGAGCGCAACCCCUACGUUUAGUUGCUAACAGGUGAAGCUGAGCACUCUAGACGAACUGCCGUUGACAAAACGGAGGAAGGUGGGAUGACGUCAAAUCAUCAUGCCCCUUAUGUUCUGGGCUACACACGUGCUACAAUGGCCGGUACAGACGGAGGCGAAGCCGCGAGGCGGAGCAAAUCCGAAAAAGCCGGUCUCAGUUCGGAUUGCAGGCUGCAAUUCGCCUGCAUGAAGUCGGAAUCGCUAGUAAUCGCAGGUCAGCAUACUGCGGUGAAUACGUUCCCGGGCCUU
rnacentral:rRNA from 1 species